GGCUUGUUUUCCGUUGCCUGAGGUUUGUUUCAGUGACUCAGGCAGCGAAAGCAAGUCUG
rnacentral:pre_miRNA from 1 species